AUCCGGUUGACGAGUCCCAAAUAGGACGAAACGCGCGUCCUGAAU
rnacentral:hammerhead_ribozyme from 1 species